GCUAAAUGACUCAAAAGGUUUAUUAAAAUACCAACAUUCUGCUUCAUCAACAGUGUACAAUACCUAAACUCAAAUACUUAAUUUACAUUGGUUUAUUCCAGCAAGCUUUAAAAACUUUUGAUGUUGUAAUCUUUGCUAUAAACAGCUGGAAUAUUCAGUUUGGAUGCCAUGCUGAGUUCAAAUUAAAUCAUUGUUAUAACUUGAAGAGGAAUUUAUUUAGCCAGACUGAUUCGUUCUAGCAAGACAGCAUAAUGACAACACUACUAGUGAUAUUCCAAUGAUGAAAUAGGUUGUGUCUCAUCAUCACCAUGUUAGAAUUAUGUAUUUAUCAUCUUACCUUUUCAUUAAGUUUGAAAGUUGGUUAGCAGCUAAUAACAGGAUGGGUGCACUAUAGUGGACUACAGCAAUAGCCCAUAUGCUGAUGGCAGUCACAAGGUUCCCUGAGUUGACAUCAUUAUAAGAAAGGUACUUUCUACAGAAUGGAAUCAGAUGCCAAAUGUCUGUUGUUUCCUAAUUAUGGCUUAUUGCUAGGCUUCAAAAGCAUUACAGAACAGUAGAAGAGUAAUUAUUAUAAGAAGUGUCAUGUCACUAAACACUAGUUCUUUGGUUUGGUUGAUGCCACAUUCCCAGCAGUAAAAUUCAAUUCCCUCCAGGCAUUCUUUUAACUGUAGAAUUAAACAAAAAAUUUUUCCUAGCAGAAUAUGAAGAAGAUAUUGUAAAGAAGAGUGUCAAAACUUUUCAACUAGCCAAUUAGAAGAGGAAGAGAGCUGCUGUUGAUAGCAGAACAAAAAAAAAAAGAAAAGAAAGAAAGAAAGAAAGAAAAGAAAAAGACAUAAAGAAUCAAACACCCUGUAUAAAAAGAGUACUCAAACUGAAGUUUUACUUUUUCAUUUAUUAUUAGCUUCUAUGAGAGUUGUGGGUUGGCAGUAUCAUUAGAGCACUGGACAAUAUGCCUUACAGUUUUUGUUCAGGUUCUCUAUGUUCUGAGUUCAAAUCCUCUUGAGGUCAACUUUUAUCUUUCAUCCCUCUAGAGUCAAUAAAAUAAAA